rnacentral:tRNA from 1 species
GUUGAUGUAGCUUAACACUAAAGCAAAGCACUGAAAAUGCUUGGAUGAGCCCGCUCGCUCCAUAAACA